AUGGAGAAGGGGGAAGUAGUACGCCGUACCAAGCUCGGUCCAGCCGCCGGCGGCGGCGGAGGACGAGGAGGAGGAGCACGCCGUCCCAAGAUGGGUCCAGGCGGCGGAGGAGCCGACCUCAUCAGCGCCCUCCCGGAGGAUCUGCUUCUCCAGGUCCUCGGGUGCCUCCGAUGCGCCCGCGCCGCCGCGCGCACCAGCAUCCUCUCCCGCCGGUGGCGCGGCCUCUGGACCCGCCUCCCCGACCUCGUCUUCCGCGGCGUCGCGCUCCGCUCCCUCCAAGCGGCGCUCGCCUCGGUCCAAGCCGCGGCCGGCCCCGUGGGGGUGACCCUCCUCGACAUGUGCGUUCCCGACGCGCUCCUACACUCCGUCCGCGAGUACGACAUGCCCCCGCUGCUCCACGCCGCCGCGGCGCUCUCGCCGGUGGACCUCCGCCUCGCCGUGGGGGAGGGCACGCAGCGCCUGUACGUGCAGGUGGAGGUGCCCCGCCUCCCCCGCGCCAUCUCGGUGGAGCUUCAAGGCCUGGAUCUCGUGUUCGCCGACCCGCGCCGCAGCUGGCUGGGGUUCCCCGCGCUGGAGACGCUCUCCCUCACCGGCUGCCGCGCCAACCUCACGGACCUGGUCCUCCGCUGCCCGCGCCUGCGCGUCUUCAGACUCAGGGAGGACCACGGCGCCCACCACAUGAACAUCAUCAUCAGGUCCUCGUCGCUGCAGGAGCUCCAUGUGGACACCAGGAUCCCCUUCACCUACCGCAUCGACAUCAGGGCGCCCGCGCUCAAGCGAUUGGCCAUGUCCUUCAGCACCAGCGACAAGAUCAUUGUGCUGGUGUCCGUUUUGGCGCCAAUGCUGGAGACGGUCUCAUGGCGCUGCACCUAUUCCACAGUGUCUGCCCGGUUUGGUCUUUGGGGCCUCUCAGAGGUGAGGUUACAGACGGAGGAGAACAAUGGACAUGGCGGGCAGCUUCCUCCUCACGUCAAUGUCCUGUCGCUCUUCGUGGCUGCAGAUGAUUCAUAUGAGUUUCCAGAGGAAGUCAGCCUUAGGACGGAGAUAGAGAAACAUAUGGUUACCCAUUUCUCUGUUUUGGAGCUACGUGUCGAAACGUGGGGGCAUGUUUUUGGAGCAUUUGCAUUGCACAUCCUUGAAAUGGAUCAGAUUUCCACUGCUAUACAAAGCCUUAAAGUCAUCCUGCUGAGUUCAGAGGAUGAUGAAGCAUGCCCACAAAAUUGCCCUUGUGAGGAGCCCAGUAACUGGAGAAGCCAAACUAUCUCCUUGACCAAUCUUGAAAAAGUGGAAAUCAAAGGCUUCCAAGGAGAAGGUCAUGAGUUUGAUUUCUUGAAACUGGUAUUUAGAUGCGCACCAAUGCUGAAAACAAUGUCUGUGAGGCUGUCAGAUGAGGUCACAGCAAGUAACGACGAUUGCUGCAAGAAAAUACAUGACGUCUUCAAGAUGUAUCCUUUUGUGGAAUGCAAUGUGAUUGUGGAUCUUAGUCCUGAGUCAACAGACAGCAGCCAUGGUGGUGCCUCGACAUGA
rnacentral:rRNA from 1 species